rnacentral:rRNA from 1 species
UACAGAGGGGGCAAGCGUUUGUUCGGAAUUACUGGGCGUAAAGGGCGCGUAGGCGGCCCGCUAAGUCGAACGUGAAAUCCCCCGAGCUCAACUCGGGAACUGCGUCCGAUACUGGUGGGCUUGAAUCCGGGAGAGGGAUGCGGAAUUCCAGGUGUAGCGGUGAAAUGCGUAGAUAUCUGGAGGAACACCGGUGGCGAAGGCGGCAUCCUGGACCGACACUGACGCUGAGGAGCGAAAGCCAGGGGAGCAAACGGG